rnacentral:rRNA from 1 species
UACGUAGGGGGCAAGCGUUGUCCGGAAUUAUUGGGCGUAAAGCGCGCGCAGGCGGUUCUUUAAGUCUGAUGUGAAAUCUUGCGGCUUAACCGCAAGCGGUCAUUGGAAACUGGGGAACUUGAGUACAGAAGAGGAGAGUGGAAUUCCACGUGUAGCGGUGAAAUGCGUAGAUAUGUGGAGGAACACCAGUGGCGAAGGCGACUCUCUGGUCUGUAACUGACGCUGAGGCGCGAAAGCGUGGGGAGCGAACAGG